rnacentral:rRNA from 1 species
UACACAUGCAAGUCGAACGAUGAAGCCUUUCGGGGUGGAUUAGUGGCGAACGGGUGAGUAACACGUGGGCAAUCUGCCCUUCACUCUGGGACAAGCCCUGGAAACGGGGUCUAAUACCGGAUAACACUCUGUCCCGCAUGGGACGGGGUUAAAAGCUCCGGCGGUGAAGGAUGAGCCCGCGGCCUAUCAGCUUGUUGGUGGGGUAAUGGCCUACCAAGGCGACGACGGGUAGCCGGCCUGAGAGGGCGACCGGCCACACUGGGACUGAGACACGGCCCAGACUCCUACGGGAGGCAGCAGUGGGGAAUAUUGCACAAUGGGCGAAAGCCUGAUGCAGCGACGCCGCGUGAGGGAUGACGGCCUUCGGGUUGUAAACCUCUUUCAGCAGGGAAGAAGCGAAAGUGACGGUACCUGCAGAAGAAGCGCCGGCUAACUACGUGCCAGCAGCCGCGGUAAUACGUAGGGCGCAAGCGUUGUCCGGAAUUAUUGGGCGUAAAGAGCUCGUAGGCGGCUUGUCACGUCGGAUGUGAAAGCCCGGGGCUUAACCCCGGGUCUGCAUUCGAUACGGGCUAGCUAGAGUGUGGUAGGGGAGAUCGGAAUUCCUGGUGUAGCGGUGAAAUGCGCAGAUAUCAGGAGGAACACCGGUGGCGAAGGCGGAUCUCUGGGCCAUUACUGACGCUGAGGAGCGAAAGCGUGGGGAG